GUGAUCGAGCGACGCCGCGUGGAGGAUGAAGGCCUUCGGGUUGUAAACUCCUGUCGAGGGGAAGGAACGGCCGGUGCAGAGCCGGCCUUGACCGAUCCCUGGAGGAAGCACGGGCUAAGUUCGUGCCAGCAGCCGCGGUAAGACGAACCGUGCAAACGUUAUUCGGAAUCACUGGGCUUAAAGCGCGUGUAGGCGGGCCGGCACGUCGGUCGCUGAAAGCCCCCGGCUCAACCGGGGAAGCGGCGCCGAUACGACCGGCCUCGAGGGACGUAGGGGGACCUGGAACUUCCGGUGGAGCGGUGAAAUGCGUUGAGAUCGGAAGGAACGCCCGUGGCGAAAGCGAGGUCCUGGACGUCUGCUGACGCUGAGACGCGAAAGCCAGGGGAGCAAACGGGAUUAGAUACCCCGGUAGUCCUGGCUGUAAACGAU
rnacentral:rRNA from 1 species